rnacentral:rRNA from 1 species
UACGGAGGGGGCUAGCGUUGUUCGGAAUUAUUGGGCGUAAAGCGCGUGUAGGCGGUUUGGCAAGUCGGGUGUGAAAGCCCUCAGCUCAACUGAGGAAGUGCGCCCGAAACUGCUGGACUUGAGUGCCGGAGAGGGUGGCGGAAUUCCCCAAGUAGAGGUGAAAUUCGUAGAUAUGGGGAGGAACACCGGUGGCGAAGGCGGCCACCUGGACGGUGACUGACGCUGAGACGCGAAAGCGUGGGGAGCAAACAGG